AAAGCUGUACGGCGAGUGAGCGGCAAGAGCUCAAAUUUGARRGCUGGCUCCUUCGGGGUCCGCAUUGUAAUUUGCAGAGGAUGCUUCGGGAGUGGCCCCCAUCUAAGUGCCCUGGAACGGGCCGUCAUAGAGGGUGAGAAUCCCGUCUGGGAUGGGGUGUCCACGCCCGUGUGAAGCUCCUUCGACGAGUCGAGUUGUUUGGGAAUGCAGCUCUAAAUGGGUGGUAAAUUUCAUCUAAAGCUAAAUACUGGCCGGAGACCGAUAGCGCACAAGUAGAGUGAUCGAAAGAUGAAAAGCACUUUGAAAAGAGAGUUAAACAGCACGUGAAAUUGUUGAAAGGGAAGCGCUUGCGACCAGACUCGCCCACGGGGUUCAGCCGGCAUUCGUGCCGGUGUACUUCCCCGCGGGCGGGCCAGCGUCGGUUUGGGCGGCCGGUCAAAGGCCCUCGGAAUGUAACGCCCCCCGGGGCGUCUUAUAGCCGAGGGUGCCAUGCGGCCAGCCCGGACCGAGGAACGCGCUUCGGCUCGGACGCUGGCAUAAUGGUCGUAAGCGACCCGUCUUGAAACACGGACCAAA
rnacentral:rRNA from 1 species